rnacentral:rRNA from 2 species
ACGGAAGGCAGCAGUGGGGGAUAUUGCGCAAUGGGGGAAACCCUGACGCAGCAACGCCGCGUGCAGGAUGACGGCCUUCGGGUUGUAAACUGUUGUCGCAAGGGAAGAAACAAAUGACGGUACCUUGUGAGAAAGCCACGGCUAACUACGUGCCAGCAGCCGCGGUAAUACGUAGGUGGCAAGCGUUGUCCGGAUUUACUGGGUGUAAAGGGCGCGUAGGCGGGAUAGCAAGUCAGUCGUGAAAUACCGGGGCUCAACUCCGGAGCUGCGAUUGAAACUGUUAUUCUUGAGUAUCGGAGAGGAAAGCGGAAUUCCUAGUGUAGCGGUGAAAUGCGUAGAUAUUAGGAGGAACACCAGUGGCGAAGGCGGCUUUCUGGACGACAACUGACGCUGAGGCGCGAAAGUGUGGGGAGCAAACAGGAUUAGAUACCCUGGUA